rnacentral:rRNA from 1 species
UACGGAGGGUGCAAGCGUUAUCCGGAUUCACUGGGUUUAAAGGGUGCGUAGGUGGGCAGGUAAGUCAGUGGUGAAAUCUCCGGGCUUAACCCGGAAACUGCCGUUGAUACUAUUUGUCUUGAAUAUUGUGGAGGUAAGCGGAAUAUGUCAUGUAGCGGUGAAAUGCUUAGAUAUGACAUAGAACACCAAUUGCGAAGGCAGCUCACUACCCAGAUAUUGACACUGAGGCACGAAAGCGUGGGGAUCAAACAGG